rnacentral:lncRNA from 1 species
CUAAAUGUCAUUGCUUAGUUAUUCAUGUUCUCACUUGAAACCACAUCGUCAUCAACCUCUAGUUCAUACUAACACAAGAUACUACAAUGUUAACAGAUUAACAGGAGAGGUCUAGAUACUACAAUGUUAACAGAUUAACAGGAGAGGUCUAGAUACUACAAUGUUAACAGAUUAACAGGAGAGGUCUAGAUACUACAAUGUUAACAGAUUAACAGGAGAGGUCUAGAUACUACAAUGUUAACAGAUUAACAUGAGAGGUGUAGAUACUACAAUGUUAACAGAUUAACAGCAGAGGUCUAGAUACUACAAUGUUAACAGAUUAACAGGAGAGGUCUAGAUACUACAAUGUUAACAGAUUAACAGGAGAGGUCUAGAUACUACAAUGUUAACAGAUUAACAGCAGAGAUCUAGAUACUACAAUGUUAACAGAUUAACAGGAGAA